rnacentral:pre_miRNA from 1 species
AGUGGAAUAACUGGGCCAAAUGGUUCCAUUUCAACUUUUCUGAGGAAUCCCCAUAAUUCUUUCCAGAGGGGUUACAUCAAUCUUCAGUCCCACCAGCAAU